UACGGGGGGAGCAAGCGUUGUUCGGAUUUACUGGGCGUAAAGGGCGCGUAGGCGGCCAGCACAAGUCAGUUGUGAAAUCUCCGAGCUUAACUCGGAAAGGUCAACUGAUACUGUGCGGCUAGAGUGCAGAAGGGGCAACUGGAAUUCUUGGUGUAGCGGUGAAAUGCGUAGAUAUCGCUUGGAACGCCGAAGGUGAAAACAGGCUGCUGGGGUCGCGCCGACGCUGAGACACGAAAGCCAGGGGAGCAAACGGGG
rnacentral:rRNA from 1 species